ACGUAGGGUGCGAGCGUUGUCCGGAAUUACUGGGCGUAAAGAGCUCGUAGGCGGUUUGUCACGUCGUCUGUGAAAUCCCUCGGCUUAACCGGGGGCGUGCAGGCGAUACGGGCAGACUUGAGUACUACAGGGGAGACUGGAAUUCCUGGUGUAGCGGUGAAAUGCGCAGAUAUCAGGAGGAACACCGGUGGCGAAGGCGGGUCUCUGGGUAGUAACUGACGCUGAGGAGCGAAAGCAUGGGUAGCGAACAGG
rnacentral:rRNA from 1 species